GGGGAUCCUUCUUUUGGCUGAUACUGCAAGAUGAAUACAGUUGCAUUUUUUUCCAAGGGACCUUUUCUUGCAGGAUGUUUGUCAGAACUGAGUGACUUGUCGGGUAGCAGCACUAUGACCUGAGUAGGUUACAUAACGUCUCUGAGCUUCGUUUCCCGCUUCUGUGCUUCUGUCGUUUGGAGAUACAUCAGCCUUGCAAGGUGGUGGAAGGAGCAAACUUUCAAAUUUUCCUCAAAGCCAGUGCCAUCGAAGAACUGGAAGCUCCAGGGGUCACCACAAGGGAAACAAUCUACAAGAUCCAGAAGAAAAAGACGGAAGAGAAGUCCUAUUCCAGUAGGCGAUUGCUUCAUAAUACAACAUCCCCAAACUUAUUAGCAUUAAACAUCAACAACAUAUAUUUGCUCAUAAUUCCAUUAUUUAUUUAGUAUUUGGUGAGGAAAAAUUGUCUCUGCUCUACCCAGCUUGGGCAGCUGGAAUCAUCUGAGGUCUCAAGCAAAAUAUGCCUGAUUGAUGCUGGUAUUGAUUUUCUCCUAUGUUACCUCCUAGGAGCUUUAUAAUUUUGCAUUUUGCAUUUAGGUCUAUGAUCCAUCUGUGUCAUUUUUCACUUGUGGUCCAGUCCCUCUAGGACAAAGUGUUGAAAAGCAUAAUUUUAUUUUUGAGUUUACAUACAAUAAAAAUUGACUUUUUGGAGGGGUGUUAAAA
rnacentral:lncRNA from 1 species